GUCUACGGCCAUGCCGCCUUGAACGAGCCCGAUCCUGUCUGAUCUCAGAAGCUAAGCAGGGUAGGGCCUGGUUAGUACUUGGAUGGGAGACCACCUAGGAAGACCAAUUGCUGUAGGUG
rnacentral:rRNA from 1 species